rnacentral:rRNA from 1 species
GACGUAGGGAGCGAGCGUUGUCCGGAUUCAUUGGGCGUAAAGCGCGCGUAGGCGGCCUCGCAAGUCGGUUGUGAAAUCCCGGGGCUCAACCCCGGGACUGCGUCCGAUACUGCGAGGCUGGAGGUAGGUAGGGGAGAUCGGAAUUCCUGGUGUAGCGGUGAAAUGCGCAGAUAUCAGGAGGAACACCAAUGGCGAAGGCAGCACUCUGGGACGUGACUGACGCUGAGACGCGAAAGCGUGGGGAGCAAACAGG